rnacentral:rRNA from 1 species
UACGAAGGGGGCUAGCGUUGCUCGGAAUCACUGGGCGUAAAGGGUGCGUAGGCGGGUCUUUAAGUCAGGGGUGAAAUCCUGGAGCUCAACUCCAGAACUGCCUUUGAUACUGAGGAUCUUGAGUCCGGGAGAGGUGAGUGGAACUGCGAGUGUAGAGGUGAAAUUCGUAGAUAUUCGCAAGAACACCAGUGGCGAAGGCGGCUGACUGGUCCGGUUCUGACGCUGAGACGCGAAAGCGUGGGGAGCAAACAGG